rnacentral:rRNA from 1 species
GACGAACGCUGGCGGCGUGCUUAACACAUGCAAGUCGAACGGAAAGGCCCUGCUUUUGUGGGGUGCUCGAGUGGCGAACGGGUGAGUAACACGUGAGUAGCCUGCCCUUGACUUUGGGAUAACUUCAGGAAACUGGGGCUAAUACCGGAUAGGAGCUCCUGCUGCAUGGUGGGGGUUGGAAAGUUUCGGCGGUUGGGGAUGGACUCGCGGCUUAUCAGCUUGUUGGUGGGGUAGUGGCUUACCAAGGCUUUGACGGGUAGCCGGCCUGAGAGGGUGACCGGCCACAUUGGGACUAAGGUACGGCCCAGACGCCUACGGGAGGCAGCAGUGGGGAAUAUGACGCAGUGGGCGGAAGCCUGAUGCAGCAGCGCCGCGUGCGUAAUGACGGCCUUCGGGUUGUAAACCGCUUUCGCCUGAGACGAAGAGUGAGUGACGGUAAUGGGUAAAGAAGCACCGGCUAACUACGUG